CCGUAACGGAAGUAGCUGUGUUGUUGGAAAGGAGGAAGAUAAAGCUACCAAAGGCUGUCAAUAUUUUUUAUAGUGUCUGGUUAAUAUAUAUAACCAUAAAUAAAACCAUUCAUCAUGAAUGGACUUCCGGUUGCUGUGGUCACCUGGAGAUAACGUCUGAAACCCUGCUGAGCUUCAGUAGACCCGUGCCGUCAGGUGAUGGAGUUGUCUCAGAGGGACCGGCUGUCGGAGCUGGUGGAGGAGCUGACCACAUCAGGACAGCCCCAGCUCAACCCGGACCGGAUGAAGGACAUGAAGAGGAUCUGCAAAGCAUCUAACGACUGCAUAGAGCACGUGUACAACUCUGUGAUGUCCCAGCUCAACCAGGAACACGCUGAGGUCCGACUCUCCGCCUUCCAGAUCGCCACGGAGCUCUUCUCCAGGUCUCACCACUUCAGGACGCUGCUGGUGGACAACUUCCAGGAGUUCUUGGAGUUGACAGUAGAGACGGAUUCGGAGCAGCCCCUCCCCCCUCCUAAGGAAAUAGCCAGGAAGCUGAGGGCACAGGCCAUCCAGGCUGUCCAAUCAUGGCAGGCCUCCUAUGGGACAGCCUAUAAGAAGUUAGCAUUAGGCUUCCACUUCCUCAAACAGGUGAAGAAGGUGGACUUCCAGGACGCUGAGGCCCGGACGGUGGCCGAGAGGACGAGGGAGGAGGAGAGGCGGAGGAAAAUGGAGAAGAUCUACAAGGAGAGAGUGGAGGCAGCCUCCAAUGACAUGGAGGAGUCGUAUCUGGAAAUCCAGGCCACGCUGACAGAGAUGGAGUCCUGUAUGAGCCUGCUCAUCCCAGGGUUCCACCUCACAGACAGCCAGACGACCAAUAGCAGCCAUCCAAACUCCCAGCCAGCCAAUGAACUGUCCUCAGUGGAUGAAGAGCCCUGCUGCAGCAAAGAACUGCAGGAGGACCGGACAGAGGAGGAGGAAGUCAAAAGCAAAGAAGAGGGAAAGAUCGGAGACAUAAAGGAGGAGAAGGGUUUAGAGAGGAGGGGGGUGGAUGAGCAGGAGGAAGAAGAAGAGGAGGAGGAGGAGAGUGGUGAGGAGGAGGAGAGUGGUGAGGAGGAGGAGGGGGGGGAGGAGCCUCCUAAUCAAGACACAUUUAUCCGGAGCUCUGGGCUUAUUUCUCAUUCCUACAACCUGGACCUGAACCUCAGCCCUGGUCUUCACGUCAGGGAGACGGAGGAUAAUGAGGCCGUGGUUUCCACGGUGAUAGACCUCCAUCGACUGAUAAUGAGCAAACACCUCCCAGCUGUGCAGGGCUGGGUUCAGGUCUUCACUAAGGCCUAUGCUGAGCAGCGGCUCCUGCAGAGGGCUCUGGAUCUGAAGAGGAGUUUGGAGGCAGCGCUGCAGAAACACAAAGAGCUCCACAUCGACUACAAGACCAGACACCGCAGAGUGGUGAAGGCUACAGAUGGAGAGGAAGACGAUGAUGAUGAUGAUGACGACGAUGAUGACUUCAAUGAGGUUCCAGAGAAAGAGGGAUAUGAGCCACACAUUCCAGAGCACCUACGAGCUGAGUAUGGUCUGGAUCCGCUCCCCUCCACCUCUGCAGCACCAGCCACAAAGAGAGCUCCCGGUAAAGCUCCUGCAGCUGCACCUCCUCCCUCCUUUUCCUCCAUUAAGUGGCUGAAGCGUCUUAUGGAUGAUGAGGAGCAGGAUCCUACGUGUGCAGCGGCCACUCAGCGCCACGUCACUCAGAACCUCCCUCUGCCUGCAGAACCCAGGAUACUCCAUCAGCAAGCAGGAGUCUAUGGAAAACCCCCAAACCUGCUAAGAAAGGGUUCUUCUCCUGAGAAAGGCUCCAGUGGCUCCUCGGGGCCCAGCUCCUCUCAGAAGGCUGCUGAUGCUCCUGUGGUUCCGUUUGGUCUGGACCUGUACUACUGGGGCCAAGAGCAGCCCAACGCUGGCAAGAUCAUCAAGUCGGCCUCCCAGCAUCAGUUCUGGGUUCCCAUCGAUGUUGACGAGGAGGUGGAGAACAAGGAGCUGCUGGCAGAGAGCCGCAGCAGAUACAUCUCCUUCCCCGGGAGCUUCACUCCGGUCAGCCAUCACUGCAGAGCGCCUCUGGAGGACGGGAAGCUGUGCCAGAGACAGGACCGCCUCAAGGUACUGGGAAACAAACACCACUCCCAGGGCGGGUUGGGAGCCGGCUCCAGAUUCCGAACCAUUUGUUUGUGUUUCCACUGCAUCGUGCUGGCUCUGGGACCCAAAAACGUGUCCUUUCCAUGGACGCAUUGUUCCUCGAGACCCGGUAGGGAGACCCUGCAGACUGGAGGACCGGCUGAGGGAGGAGAAGGAGGAGAGGAAGAGGAGGGAGGAGCAGCCGGACUGGCGGGACGCAGAGCUCAUGCGGGACAUCGAGGCAGCCACAGGUGAAGACCUGGGCUCUGACAGGCUGGGUAAAAAAAGGAAAGGGAAGAAGAAGAAGUACCCGAACCUCAGCGACCUGAAGCAGAGCGCCAACACGUCCCGCUCCAGGCUGGAGAAGAAAGUCCUCAACAAGAGCGCCAUGCGCAGAGUAGCUGAGGUGAUGAGUAAAGCUGACGGCAGGAAACACGACAAGUUCUCCAACCAGUUCAACUACGCCAUCCACUGACCUGCAGAUCACUGCAUUCACAUUCUGACUCGGAUGAAGACAUGAUUCUCAUAAUAGGAAGAUUUAAAAGAAGGACCUGUGUGUAGCUUCUGUCAUGCCUAAUGAAGUACAACUCUUCAGCCUUCAAAUGCCUAGUUUACACUUUGUAUAACUGAUUGAAUUUGUAUGCAUGUUUUUCUGUAACUACUCUUUGAAUUUGUUUAACUUGUGUUUUUUAAAGACCAUGAACUGACAUGAUGAAGGUAAAAAUGUGUAUAUCUUUCGUGUGUGUGUGUGUGUGUGUGUGUGUGUGUGUGUGUGUGUGUGUGUGUGUGUGUGUGUGUGUGUGUGUGUGUGUGUGUGUGUGUGUGUGUGUGUGUGUGUGUGUGUGUGUGUGUGUGUGUUCCAUGUCGAUAUUUUUAUUUAUAAAUCUGUUUUGUUCUUAUUGUGAUCAGUUCGUUGGAAUUAAUAUCUUGGUUAUAAAGUGAAAAUAUCUAUUGUUCUGUAAGCUGUCCUUGCAGUCUGAUUACAUUAAGAUGAUAGGAGGCACGUUAAAGCAAGACUACUGAACACCAACACAAGGAAAACUGAAAUCAUUCAGCAAAGAAACAUUCAAAAAGCUGAUCUGACUUUUAGACUUUGGUGUGCAUUCAAAAGGUACUGGAUCCUACAUUUCCCAUAAUGCAACAAAAUCUUCUUUUAGUUAGACUUGUUCAGAUUGGUGCUUUCUGCAAUAAACACAUUACCUUAAUGACGGUUGGUUUGUGAUCAUUGUGAUAAUGAAUAAAGUCAUCACUGGUACAAAUGUU